GACGAAGGGGGCUAGCGUUGUUCGGAAUUACUGGGCGUAAAGCGCGUGUAGGCGGUUGUUCAAGUCAGGUGUGAAAGCCUUGAGCUCAACUCAAGAAAUGCACUUGAUACUGGAUGACUAGAGGACCGGAGAGGAUAGUGGAAUUCCCAGUGUAGUGGUGAAAUACGUAGAGAUUGGGAAGAACACCAGUGGCGAAGGCGGCUCACUGGACCGGAACUGACGCUGAGGCGCGAAAGCGUGGGGAGCAAACAGG
rnacentral:rRNA from 1 species